rnacentral:rRNA from 1 species
UAAGCAAUUAAGGGCUUAGGCUGGAUACCUUGGCGCUCAGAAGCGAUGAAGGGCGUGUCUACCAGCGAAAUGCUUCGGGGAGCUGGACGUAAGCUUUGAUCCGGAGGUUCCCGAAUGAGGAAACUUUUUAUACUGUACAUCUAAUUCAUAGGUGUACGAGAGCUAACCUGGAGAACUGAAACAUCUUAGUAUCCAGAGGAAAAUAAAGCAAUAGCGAUUCCCAUAGUAGCGGCGAGCGAAAAGGGAACAGCCUAAACCAUCUUCGCGGGUGGGGUUGUGGGACGGCAUGUGCUUUGGUAGUUAUGGUUAGGAGAAACUUUUGGAAUGAAGUACCGCAGAAGGUGAUGGUCCUGUACCCGAAAGCCUGUUACUAUUCUAUGCUGUAUCCCAAGUAGCAUGGGCCACGUGGAAUCCCGUGUGAAUCUGCGAGGACCACCUCGUAAGGCUAAAUAUUCCUGAGCGACCGAUAGCGUACAAGUACCGUGAGGGAAAGGUGAAAAGAACCCCGGAAGGGGAGUGAAAAAGAGCAUGAAAGCGUAAGUCUACAAGCAGUGGAAGGACGACUAAACGUUCGACUUCGUACCUGUUGAAGAAUGAGCCGGCGACUUAUAGGCAGUGGCAGGUUAAGGUGUUACUACUGGAGCCAUAGUGAAAGCGAGCUUUAAUAGAGCGUUGGUCACUGUUUAUAGACCCGAACCCGGAUGAUCUAACCAUGGCCAGUGUGAAGCGUAGGUAACACUCCGUGGAGGCGCGAACCGACUAAUGUUGAAAAAUUAGCGGAUGAGCUGUGGUUAGUGGUGAAAUGCCAAUCGAAUUCGGAGCUAGCUGGUUCUCCCCGAAAUGCGUUUAGGCGCAGCGGUCAGCGCUAUAGCUUAGGGGUAAAGCACUGUUUCGGUGCGGGCUGUUAACACGGUACCAAAUCGAUGCAAACUCUGAAUACUAAGUGCGUAGCUGACCAGUAAGACUGUGGGGGAUAAGCUCCAUUGUCAAGAGGGAAACAGCCCAGACCACCGGCUAAGGCCCCUAAAUGAUUGCUAAGUGAUAAAGGAUGUGGGAAUGCUUAAACAGUCAGGAGGUUCGCCUAGAAGCAGCUAUCCUUUAAAGAGUGCGUAAUAGCUCACUGAUCUAGUGCGCCUGCGCCGAAAAUGAACGGGACUAAGCAGUCUGCCGAAGCUGUGGGAUUUUUAUAGAUCGGUAGGGGAGCGUUCCACCGUAGGUAGAAGCAUUAGUGUAAACGGGUGUGGACGAAGUGGAAGUGAGAAUGUCGGCUUGAGUAGCGAACACAUUGGUGAGAAUCCAAUGCCCCCUAAACCUAAGGUUUCCUCCG